rnacentral:rRNA from 1 species
AUGGCAUAAGAUAGGCGUUUGUCCGAUUAGUUAGUUGGUAAGGUAAUGGCUUACCAAGACAAUGAUCGGUAGGGGGCCUGAGAGGGCGUACCCCCACAUUGGUACUGAGACACGGACCAAACUUCUACGGAAGGCAGCAGUGAGGAAUAUUGGUCAAUGGAGGAAACUCUGAACCAGCCACUCCGCGUGUAGGAUGAAGGCCAUUUAGGUUGUAAACUACUUUUGUAUAUGAAUAAAAAAUUCUAUUUUUAGAAAAAAUUGAAGGUAAUAUACGAAUAAGUAUCGGCCAACUCUGUGCCAGCAGCCGCGGUAAUACGGAGGAUACAAGCGUUAUCCGGAUUUAUUGGGUUUAAAGGGUGCGUAGGUUGUUUUUUAAGUCAGUAGUGAAAUCUUAAAGCUUAACUUUAAAAGUGCUAUUGAUACUGAUAAACUAGAGUGAGGUUGGAGUAACUGGAAUGUGUGGUGUAGCGGUGAAAUGCAUAGAGAUCACACAGAACACCUAUCGCGAAAGCAGGUUACUAAACCUAGACUGACGCUGAGGCACGAAAGCAUGGGUAGCAAACAGGAUUAGAUACCCUGGUAGUCCAUGCCGUAAACGAUGAUCACUAACUAUUGGAUAAUAAUUCAGUGGUCAAGCGAAAGUGAUAAGUGAUCCACCUGAGUAGUACGACCGCAAGGUUGAAACUCAAAGGAAUUGACGGGGGCCCGCACAAUCGGUGGAGCAUGUGGUUUAAUUCGAUGAUACGCGAGGAACCUUACCAAAACUUAAAUGUAUUACGAAUAAAUUGGAAACAAUUUAGUCAUUAGACGGAGUACAAGGUGCUGCAUGGUUGUCGUCAGCUCGUGCCGUGAGGUGUGAGGUUAAGUCCUUUAACGAGCGCAACCC